CCUACGAGAGGCAGCAGUGAGGAAUAUUGGUCAAUGGGCGCGAGCCUGAACCAGCCAAGUAGCGUGAAGGAUGACUGCCCUACGGGUUGUAAACUUCUGUUAUAAAGGAAUCAAGUGAGGCACGUGUGCCUGUUUGUAUGUACUUUAUGAAUAAGGAUCGGCUAACGCCUUGCAAGCAGACUCGGUAAUACGGAGGAUCCGAACGUUAUCCGGAUUUAUUGGGUUUAAAGGGAGAGUAGAUGGGUUGUUAAGUUAGUUGGGAAAGUUUGCGGCUCAACCGUAAAAUUGAAAGUGAAAGUGGCAGCUUUGAGUACAGUUGAGGUAGGCGGAAUUCGUGGUGUAGCGGUGAAAUGCUUAGAUAUCACGAAGAACUCCGAUUGCGAAGGCAGCCUACUAAACUGCCACUGACAUUGAUGCUCGAAAGUGUGGGUAUCAAACAGGAUUAGAUACCCUUGUAGUC
rnacentral:rRNA from 1 species